UCCGGUUGAUCCUGCCGGCGGCCACCGCUAUUGGUAUUCGAUUAAGACAUGCGAGUCGAGAGACGUAAGGUCUCGGCGGACCGCUGAGUAACACGCGGAUAACAUGCCCUGGGGUGGGGGAUAACCUCGGGAAACUGAGAAUAAUACCCCAUAGGUUUAGGGUGCUGGAAUGCUUCUAUGCUGAAAACUCCGGUGCCCCAGGAUUGGUCUGCGGCUUAUCAGGUUGUAGUGGGUGUAACGGACCCACUAGCCUAUGACGAGUAUGGGCCUUGAGAGAGGAAGCCCACAGAUGGACUCUGAGACAUGAGUCCAGGCCCUACGGGGCGCAGCAGUCGCGAAAACUUCACAAUGGGAGAAAUCCCGAUGAGGGAAUACCAAGUGCCAGCACUUUUGUGUUGGCUGUUCCCCUGUCUAAAAAACAGGAGAAGUAAGGGCCGGGUAAGACGGGUGCCAGCCGCCGCGGUAAUACCCGCGGCCCGAGUGGUGGUCGAUAUUAUUGAGCCUAAAACGUUCGUAGCCGGUCUUGUAAAUCCUUGGGUAAAUCGGCCAGCUUAACUGUCCGAAGUCCGAGGAGACUGUGAGACUUGGGAUCGGGAGAGGUCAGAGGUACUUCUGGGGUAGGGGUAAAAUCCUGUAAUCCUGGAAGGACCACCGGUGGCGAAGGCGUCUGACUAGAACGAAUUCGACGGUGAGGGACGAAGCCCUGGGGCGCAAACGGGAUUAGAUACCCCGGUAGUCCAGGGUGUAAACGCUGCGGGCUUGGUGUUGGGGGUCCUUUGUGGGCGCCCAGUGCCGGAGAGAAGUUGUUAAGCCUGCUGCUUGGGGAGUACGUCCGCAAGGAUGAAACUUAAAGGAAUUGGCGGGGGAGCACCGCAACGGGAGGAGCGUGCGGUUCAAUUGGAUUCAACGCCGGACAACUCACCAGGAGCGACGAUUACAUGAAGGCCAGGUUGAUGACCUUGCCAGAUUUUUCGAGAGGUGGUGCAUGGCCGUCGUCAGUUCGUACCGUAAGGCGUUCUCUUAAGUGAGAUAACGAACGAGACCCUCACCAUUAAUUGCUAGGUCAUUCUCCGGAAUGGGCGCACAUUAAGGGGAC
rnacentral:rRNA from 1 species